GGAAAGUUGCAAAGUACUUUGAAGAGAGAGUUCAAGAGGACGUGAAACCGAUAGGAUGGAAGCAGAUGAAGUUGACGAACGAGUGUCGUAUUCAGGGUUGCAUCUUGUGUGCGGUCUGUUCUUGCGACCGAUGUGGGCUGGCGGCUUUGGUCAAUGCACUGUGUCAAGUUUCGAUGGAGACCCUGCGGAGGGAUAAUCGGUCGUUGCACGAUACGUGGUAUGGCUAAGGCUUAUCGCCGGUCUUGAAGUCAGCGCCUCAUCUGACCCGUCUUGAAACACGGACCAAGGAGUGUAGCGUUUGCGCAAGUCUUAGAGUGUGUCAAAACUUUGAGGCGUAACGAAAGUAAAUGUAGUUUCGAUCUACUGACUUGGGAUGCGUUGUCUCGUGUGGACGGCGCUGGACCAUGGUUUUAUCGCGAUCGCUUGCGAUGCGGUGAAAAUAGAGCGUAAACGGUGCGACCCGAAA
rnacentral:rRNA from 1 species